rnacentral:rRNA from 1 species
GACGAACGCUGGCGGCGUGCUUAACACAUGCAAGUCGAACGGAAAGGCCCUGCUUUUGUGGGGUGCUCGAGUGGCGAACGGGUGAGUAACACGUGAGUAACCUGCCCUUGACUUUGGGAUAACUUCAGGAAACUGGGGCUAAUACCGGAUAGGAGCUCCUGCUGCAUGGUGGGGGUUGGAAAGUUUCGGCGGUUGGGGAUGGACUCGCGGCUUAUCAGCUUGUUGGUGGGGUAGUGGCUUACCAAGGCUUUGACGGGUAGCCGGCCUGAGAGGGUGACCGGCAACAUUGGGAAUGAGAUACGGGCCAGACUCCUACGGGAGGCAGCAGUGGGGAAUAGUGCACAAUGGGCGGAAGCCUGAUGCAGCAACGCCGCGUACGGGAUGACGGCCUUCGGGUUGUAAACCGCUUUCGCCUGUGACGAAGCGUGAGUGACGGUAAUGGGUAAAGAAGCACCGGCUAACUACGUG